rnacentral:rRNA from 1 species
UACAGAGGUCCCAAGCGUUGUUCGGAUUCACUGGGCGUAAAGGGUGCGUAGGUGGCAUGGCCAGUUUGAUGUGAAAGCUCAGGGCUUAACCCUGAAAUGGCAUUGAAUACUGCUGUGCUGGAGGUUUGGAGGGGGGACUGGAAUUCUUGGUGUAGCAGUGAAAUGCGUAGAUAUCAAGAAGGAACACCAGUGGCGAAGGCGAGUCCCUGGACAACACCUGACACUGAGGCACGAAAGCUAGGGGAGCAAACAGG